ACAAAGAUGAAAAGCAAACACUAGCAGUGACCUCGAAAGAGGAAUGAAAUAACCUAUGAACAAACAGAAUAGGUCUUGCUUCAUUUUGCUCCUUGUGGGGAAGACAAAUUGGAGAUACCAAGGAUCGAACUGGGAACCCUAGGCAUGCAAAUUGUAAGCUCUAGCACUUAUAUCCUUGCAACCAUCUCUGUUCUCUCCCCAAUCUUGAGUCCAAAAAAUUUUCGUAAACACAAUUUGCAUAGCUGUUUCUUCAAGGUUGUAUCAAUAAUUCACGUCUUAUUUUUGAGAAGAAAAAGUUACCCUUUAGUUCAUUCAAAUGACCUUAAAUUCAAUUGAACCAGACCAGGUCUCAUUCAACAAGCAACUGAAAAGAUGGCUUACAAUACAAUAUAUGCUAUAUAAACAGAUAUUAUAGAUUGUAUAUAUGACAGCCCCCCCCACCAAAAAAAGAUAGCAUAUUGGUGAAAAGACCAGGGUAACAACGGCAGAAAAGGUAUCUUAAGGCAAAUAGUUCAGACAGUUCCUGAUAUAAAGCUCAAAGCUAAUUUUUUAAAGUGUUUCAGUUAUAUUUAAUACUUAAGCAAAACAUUUUUGACUAUACAUCUCUAUAAUGCACAAUACUAAAAAAGUCCAAAAUUUUUAUCAUAAAGAUGGUUAUGAAACUGAAUACCACAAUGGUUGUAAUGUGGUAUUACAGUUUAUGAAGACAGUUUUGUUUUGUGGUUUUUUUUUUUUUCUUAAAGUUUUUUGGACGUUAACAGGCGCUCAACAUCUUCUUCCAUUUACUCCUUUCUGAACUGGCUCAGACUGCUUAGCACAUACGCAGACGGUGUUAAGAAGGUCGUAAAACACCAGAAUUCCAACAGCCAUAUUUCCAUGGCAUACAUGGGCUGGCGCGGAGGCUCAGAAUGGGCAAGGCAGGGGUCGGGCUGCAGGGCGAGCAGGGCCACGCAGCGGUGGUGGCAGAGUUGAGGACAGAGCCCGGGUAGGCGAGGCAUGGCGCGUCAGGUGAGAUAAAGCCAGGCAAGCCAAUGGGAGGGACCGCGUGAGUGGGUUGAGGCCAAGCGGCGCGAGCUCCAGAGCUGGUGAGGCAGCUGGUUUGCGCUGGAGCCCCAGCCACGAGGAGGCCCCUGCCCAACCCUUCCGCCUCAAAACUAACUCUUAAGAUGAUCCUCGUGGCUGAGAGAGGGUAGAAUCAUCUUCAACUGUGCUCCAAAUAACUGUAUUUCUGGUUACAAAUCAUGUACCUUCAGUCAUAACAAUGUAAACCCAAUUUUGUUAAUGAGUGGUAAGAUUUAAAGGUGUUCUAAAGCAGUUAGCAGUUACAGGAUUUUGAUAGUUGGAGAAAGUUUGGCACUAUGAAAGUGUGCCGUGUUAAAUACAUCUGACCUUUAAAGCCACCGACCUAUUUCCAAGUAUUUGAAGACGUCAGGAAGUUCUACCCAAGCCUAAACAAAGAGGAGUAACCAACCAGUAUGCUAAAGUGGAAACGCCAGGGAUCGAAACCGGGACCUCAUACAUGCAAAGCGCGCGUUCUACCACUAAACUACAUCCACCUAUGCACUAAAACCUUCUUUUCCUUUUAUUUACUCAUAUAGCCCUUAACAAUAUAGAGUAGCACUACCCAAUUCCGUCGGCUUUUUCAAUUUAUAUUCAUAGAAAAUCAAGUCGGUUCAACAAAUUGUUAUCAAUGCCAUACAUAACUUCCUUGUACUUUCCCUAAAUUUCAUUUACCACAAACACCUUAUAAGAGUAGAUUUAUGUUAAGUUUGUUCCCUUCUCUAGUAAGGUAGCUUCUGGAGGGCAGAGGCUAUUUUUCUUUCAUCAGGCUUCCCACACCCUUAGUAUAGAGGUGGAGUACAGCAGCCACUCACAGAGCAGUGAGAAAUAAAUUACAGGUGCCCUCUGUUCAGGAUAUAUUUCACAGUACAGAGACUUGCAAUGAAGUGUGAAGGUGGAGGAGGGAGGAUUCAAAAUUACAUAAACAGAUCAUUCCAAUAGCGUAUGACAAGUGCUCUGGCAAAGAUAAGCAUAUAUAACUAUGGCAUUAAGCAGAAAGUAUACCACUUUCUUGAUCAAAAAUUGACGACUCCAGGAAUUUUGAAAGACUUGACCAAAUAAAUAAAGGCCGAGAGUUACGCAUGAGAACCAACAUGGGUUGUGCUUCUCGGAUUCAGGCCAAAGUUCUCUGCGCCGGUGGGUGGAGCUUCGUUGCACGAAAUGAACACCCAGUAGUGAUCUGCCCGGCUAACGCUGGGGCUUUGCGGACCUCAGGUCUUAGGCAGGAGCUUGCGGGCCUAAAAUGCAUUAGCUGGUUUUUACUGAAUUUACGCUUAGCAGAGACCUACAGAAAAAUGAGAUCCAGCUCGCCGCUGGAGGGAACAGCUCUGGCCUCCCAGUGACGCUGAUAUAGACGCGAGGCUGGAGUGAUUUUUUUGAUAAUCCUGCUAGAGACAGAAUGGGUAAGGAUGGGUAAGGGCGACCACCACCGUUAAGCAAUGACAUGCGAGCUCCAGCACCGCGUCUCCCCGGUAGGAUGCUCACUGCGCUAGCGGGAGGGGACCGUUAAGUAUUUUCCGGAACCGUUUAUCAGCUCGGCCUUGGACAUAUGUCCUUUUACCCUUCAGCAAUAAAAACAUGGCCCUUUCUCCCCGCUCUCGGGCGGUUAAUUUUAACCCGCAGAUCGCAGUUUCAGCGGACUAACAUUCCUCGCAGACCAAGCCUCGUCUCUGCCUUCUUAGGAUUCAGCUUGGGGUGGUCCAUUGACUUCUCCAGGGAGCUCCUAGCGUUUGCGGCCGCGUCACAUCUCCAACCUUUGCCUCGCCCUGCCUGUCAUCCCGGUUUUCUUUCUUGCCCGCCUAAGUGUGGCGGACAGGGAUACUAUUCCCCGCCUUCCAUACCGCCCCUUCCUCCUUGUCGCGGACUCCUUGUCCUUGCCGGUUCACCUCCCUGUGGAGGACCUCCUCUCUCUGUCAUUGGAACAAGCCUUGCUCGGUCGUCAGUGUGGAUGUUCCUGGGUCCCCUAGAACACUCGAAAUCUCCCCAAAAAUACCAGAGAGUAGCGGUGGGUGCCCUGCCCCUUGCUGUACCCCUCUGUCCGCAGCCGUGUUGUGGAGGGAAAGGGAGAAUAGAAAACCAAUGUGAAAAAAAAAAGGCAAAAGCUAAGAUGAAAGCUUUUGAAUCAAGUAAAAGAGGCCCCAAAAUAAAUAAAUAUAAAUCUCUAGAAAUAAGCAAAGAGAGCCUAACUGGAGGAUAAAACCUUUGGCUCUUUGCUUAUUUCUCUUGCUGCGCUUCUCUGCAUCCCAGACUAACUCCUUUCCACCCACCACCUGCCGCUCCCCGCUGCCGCAAGUGGUUCCUUAACAGACCGCAACGGGUGGCGGAGAGAUCUGGGUGACCUGACUCGGGCGUCCAUCCCCCGGCCUGGGCUGCGGGACACGCUGGUAACCAACAGGCCAAUGCAGGUUCUAGGGAUGUCAAUCCCUGUCUACUGCUUAGCCCUGCGUGUUUAGUUAAAGCGGUGCAUUUGUUAAAAUUGAUGACCUAAAUUGACACAUCAGUAUUACUCAAAGUCCACAGUUUACAAUAGGGUUUACGCUUGGUGUUGCACAUUUUAUGGGUUUGGAUAAAUAUAUAAUGACAUACUUCCACCAUUAUAGUAUACAGAGUAUUUUCGCUGAGCUAAAAAUCCUUUGUGCUCCACCAAUUAAUCAGUCCCUCCCUCUCCCUCUAACCCUUGGCAACUUCUGAUCUUUUACUAUCUCCACAGCUUUGCCUUUUCCAGAAUACCAUAUAGUUGGAAUCAUACAGUAUGUAACUUUUUCAGAUUGGCUUCUUUCACCUAAUAAUAUGGUACAUGUUUCCUCCAUGUCUAUUCAUGGCUUGAUAACUCAUUUCUUUUUUUUAGCACUGAAUGAUAUUCCAUGGUCUGGAUGUGCCACAGUUUGUUUAUUCACCUACAGAAGGAAAUCUUGGUUGUUUCCAAGUUUGGGCAAUUAUGAAUGAAGCUGCUAUAGAAAUAUAUGUGUAAGUUUUUAUGUGUACAUAUGUUUUCAACUUCUCUGGAUAGAUACUAAGGAGUAUAAUUGCUGGCUUGUAUGAUAAAUGUAUGUUUAGUUUUGUAAGAAACUGCUAAAGUCUUCCAAAGACAUCAUACCAUUUUGUAUUUCCAUCAACAAUGAAUUAGAGUUCCUAUUUUUUGACAUCCUCAACAGUAUUUGGUGUUGUAAGGGUUCCGGAGUUUGGUCAUUCUAAUAGGUGUGUGUGUUGUCUCGUUUUAAUUUGCACUUAUCUGAUGGGAUAUGAUGUGGAGCAUCUUUUCACAGGCUUAGUUGCUACUUGUUCUGGGUUUGUUUCUUUUCAGUCUUUCUUCUCUUUGCUUUUCGGUUUUGGAAAUUUCUACUGAUAUAUCCUUAAGUUCAAAGCUUCUUUCUUCAGCCAUGUGAAGUCUACUAAUAAGCCCAUCAACAGCAUUCUUCAUUUCUGUUACAGUAUUUUAUCUCUAGCAUUUCUUCGUGGUUGUUUCUUAGAAUUUCCAUCUCUUUGCUUACAUUGCCCAUCUGUUCUUGCAUGCUGUCUAAUUUAUCCAUUAGAGUCCUUAGCAUAUUAAUCAUAGUUGUUUUGAAUUCCCCAUCUGGUAAUCCCAAAAUCCCUGCCCAUGUCUGUUUCUGAUGCUUGCUUUCCAUCUUCAAGCUGUUUUUUUUUUUUUUUUGCCUUUUAGUUUGCCUUGUAGCUUUUUUCUUGAUAGCUCAACAUGAUGCACUGGGUUAAAGGAAUUGCUGCAAAUAGAUCUUCAGUAAUGUGAGGGCAAGAUGCAGGGGGACAGAAGGAUUUCUGCAUUCUUGCAAUUAGGCCUGUCUUUUAGUAAGCCUGCACCUCUGCACUGUGAAUCAUACAAGUGUUGCUUAGAUGUUUUUCUCUUCCCUUAGAUGGACAGGAUGGCUAGAGUGGGCUGGAGUUAAAUAUUUCCCUUCCAUGACAUGGAAGGUUAAAGCUGUCUGGGUUGGGUAUUUUCCUCCCCCAAGAGCUGAUAAAACCACAGCAGGUUAGGCUCUGAUUAGUUUCUCCUGAGGGCAGAAUUUAUUAAGACAAACAGGUGCUAUUCAAAAUAGUCCCUUUUCCUCUCCCCAUGUGGAAGCACAAGGGGAUUUUUCUCUAAUAUUUACUGCAAGAAUCUGGUCAAGUUCCUGUAAGUAAAAUACACAAAAGCAUGGGGCCUUGCUGUGACUGGGUCCCCCUGGAGUUUUUAACUCUCAGACUUGUCCACACCUAGCCUCCAGCAGUUCAUUGAUUAGAAUUCAGGUUUUCUUAUCUAUGCAAUGGUUCCCACAGAUAUUUCUGCUCGUGUGCUGUGAUUUUCAAUGUCUAUCUGUCUGUCUCUCCAAUUUGGGGGGGGGUGGGCACCAGUUUCCUCUGUGACCUAUCUUCUUUUAUGAAUCUAAAAAGUUAGAUUUUUCACUUCCUUCAGCUUCUCAGUUGUUAAAGCAAAGUGGCAACAUCCAAGCUACUUACACGCAAAACCCUAAACUGGAAAUCCAGACUGUUUUUACUGUCUUAUUUUCCUUUUUUAAUCCCAAUUAAUUGUAUCUCUAUUAUAUGUACUGUUGUUUCAAAGAAAAAAAUAAAACAUGGAUGGACACAGUGGCUCACACCUGUAGUCCUAGCACUUUGGGAGCCCAAGGCAGGUGGAUUGCCUUAACUCAGGAGUUCCAUACUAGCCUGGCCAACAUGAAACCUCGUCUCCUUUAAUACAAAAAGCAGCCCGGUGUGGUGGCACGUGCCUAAAAUCCCAGCUACUCCGGAGGCUGAGACAGAAGAAUCACUUGAAACCGGAAGGUGCAGGUUGCAGUGAGCUGAAGUCCGGCCACUGCACUCCCACCUGAGUUACAGAACAGAACUCUAUCUCCAAAAAAAAAAAAAAAAAAAAAAAGAAAAAACAUUAAACAAAAUAUUUUGAAGUACAAAGGGCUAAAGGGCUAUGGGGAAAUAGUGAUAUUUGUAUAUAUUCAGAAAUGUGGUUAAAAGAAUAAAUCUGACAGCCCCUGAAAAUUUCAGCAUAACACUGGGUCCGGAAUUGGCGGGUUCUUGGUUUCACUGACUUCAAGAACAGAGCCGCGGACCCUCACGAAAUUACAGUUCUUAAAGGCAGCAUGUCCAGAGUUUGUUCCUGCUGAUGUUUAGGUGUGUUCGGAGUUUCUUCCUUCUGAUGGAUUCGUGGUCUCCCUGGCCGAGGAGUGAAGCCGUAAACCUUCGCGGUGAGUUUUACAGCUCUUAAGGCAGGGCGUCUGGAGUUGUUCCCUCCUUCCAGUGGGCUCAUCAUCUCGCUGGCUUCAGAAAUGAAACUGCAGACUCUCCAGACAAGUGUUACAACUGCUAAGGCGACGCUUCUGGAGUUGUUCGUUCCUCUCGGUGGGCUCGUGGCUUCGCUGGCUUCAGAAGUGAGACUACAGAUCUUCCCGUGGCACAUGGACACCCAAGAACUUAAGGAGGUCAGAGAAAAUCUCAAAAGAAUAUGCAAAAUUUGUCCUGUACUCUUUCUACUUAUUACAAAAUAGUUAACUGUGAAACAGCCUCAGGCAGGCCCUCA